rnacentral:rRNA from 1 species
UACGUAGAUGGCAAGCGUUGUCCGGAUUUACUGGGCGUAAAGAGCGCGCAGGCGGUCGUUCAAGUCGCGUGUGGAAGCCCCCGGCUCAACUGGGGAGGGUCACGCGAUACUGAUCGACUCGAAGGCAGGAGAGGGAAGUGGAAUUCCCGGUGUAGUGGUGAAAUGCGUAGAUAUCGGGAGGAACACCAGUGGCGUAGGCGACUUUUUGGCCUGUUCUUGACGCUGAGGCGCGAAAGCUAGGGGAGCAAACGGG